rnacentral:rRNA from 1 species
GACGAACGCUGGCGGCGUGCUUAACACAUGCAAGUCGAACGAUGAAGCCAGCUUGCUGGUGGAUUAGUGGCGAACGGGUGAGUAACACGUGGGCAACCUGCCCCCGGCUCUGGGAUAACUCCAAGAAAUUGGUGCUAAUACCGGAUAUUCUUCUUCCUCCGCAUGGUGGUUGAAGGAAAGUUUUUCGGCUGGGGAUGGGCCCGCGGCCUAUCAGCUUGUUGGUGGGGUGAUGGCCUACCAAGGCGACGACGGGUAGCCGGCCUGAGAGGGUGACGGGCCACACUGGGACUGAGACCCGGCCCAGACUCCUACGGGAGGCAGCAGUGGGGAAUAUUGCGCAAUGGGCGGAAGCCUGACGCAGCGACGCCGCAUGAGGGAUGACGGCCUUCGGGUUGUAAACCUCUUUCAGCAGGGACGAAGCGGAAGUGACGGUACCUGCAGAAGAAGCACCGGCCAACUACAUGCCAGCAGCCGCAGUAAGAC